rnacentral:rRNA from 1 species
CACGUAGGGUGCGAGCGUUGUCCGGAAUUAUUGGGCGUAAAGAGCUCGUAGGCGGUGUGUCGCGUCGGCCGUGAAAACUGCAGCUUAGCUGUGGGCUUGCGGUCGAUACGGGCAUCACUGGAGUUGGCAGGGGAGACUGGAAUUCCUGGUGUAGCGGUGAAAUGCGCAGAUAUCAGGAGGAACACCGGUGCGAAGGCGGGUC